rnacentral:rRNA from 1 species
GGGUUGUGAGGUUAAGCGACUAAGCGUACACGGUGGAUGCCCUGGCAGUCAGAGGCGAUGAAGGGCGUGCUAAUCUGCGAUAAGCGCCGGUAAGGUGAUAUGAACCGUUAUAACCGGCGAUACCCGAAUGGGGAAACCCAGUGUGAUUCGUCACACUAUCAUUAACUGAAUCCAUAGGUUAAUGAGGCGAACCGGGGGAACUGAAACAUCUAAGUACCCCGAGGAAAAGAAAUCAACCGAGAUUCCCCCAGUAGCGGCGAGCGAACGGGGAGGAGCCCAGAGCCUGAAUCAGCAUGUGUGUUAGUGGAAGCGUCUGGAAAGGCGCGCGAUACAGGGUGACAGCCCCGUACACAAAAGCGCAUGUGCUGUGAGCUCGAUGAGUAGGGCGGGACACGUGGUAUCCUGUCUGAAUAUGGGGGGACCAUCCUCCAAGGCUAAAUACUCCUGACUGACCGAUAGUGAACCAGUACCGUGAGGGAAAGGCGAAAAGAACCCCGGCGAGGGGAGUGAAAAAGAACCUGAAACCGUGUACGUACAAGCAGUGGGAGCACANNNNNNNNNGUGUGACUGCGUACCUUUUGUAUAAUGGGUCAGCGACUUAUAUUCUGUAGCAAGGUUAACCGAAUAGGGGAGCCGGAGGGAAACCGAGUCUUAAUUGGGCGUUAAGUUGCAGGGUAUAGACCCGAAACCCGGUGAUCUAGCCAUGGGCAGGUUGAAGGUUGGGUAACACUAACUGGAGGACCGAACCGACUAAUGUUGAAAAAUUAGCGGAUGACCUGUGGCUGGGGGUGAAAGGCCAAUCAAACCGGGAGAUAGCUGGUUCUCCCCGAAAGCUAUUUAGGUAGCGCCUCGUGAAUUCAUCUCCGGGGGUAGAGCACUGUUUCGGCUAGGGGGCCAUCCCGGCUUACCAACCCGAUGCAAACUGCGAAUACCGGAGAAUGUUAUCACGGGAGACACACGGCGGGUGCUAACGUCCGUCGUGAAGAGGGAAACAACCCAGACCGCCAGCUAAGGUCCCAAAGUCAUGGUUAAGUGGGAAACGAUGUGGGAAGGCCCAGACAGCCAGGAUGUUGGCUUAGAAGCAGCCAUCAUUUAAAGAAAGCGUAAUAGCUCACUGGUCGAGUCGGCCUGCGCGGAAGAUGUAACGGGGCUAAACCAUGCACCGAAGCUGCGGCAGCGACACUGUGUGUUGUUGGGUAGGGGAGCGUUCUGUAAGCCUGCGAAGGUGGCCUGUGAGGGUUGCUGGAGGUAUCAGAAGUGCGAAUGCUGACAUAAGUAACGAUAAAGCGGGUGAAAAGCCCGCUCGCCGGAAGACCAAGGGUUCCUGUCCAACGUUAAUCGGGGCAGGGUGAGUCGACCCCUAAGGCGAGGCCGAAAGGCGUAGUCGAUGGGAAACGGGUUAAUAUUCCCGUACUUGGUGUUACUGCGAAGGGGGGACGGAGAAGGCUAUGUUGGCCGGGCGACGGUUGUCCCGGUUUAAGCGUGUAGGUGUGUGUUCCAGGUAAAUCCGGUUCACUUUAACACUGAGGCGUGACGACGAGGCACUACGGUGCUGAAGCAACAAAUGCCCUGCUUCCAGGAAAAGCCUCUAAGCAUCAGGUAACAUCAAAUCGUACCCCAAACCGACACAGGUGGUCAGGUAGAGAAUACCAAGGCGCUUGAGAGAACUCGGGUGAAGGAACUAGGCAAAAUGGUGCCGUAACUUCGGGAGAAGGCACGCUGACACGUAGGUGAAGUGAUUUACUCAUGGAGCUGAAGUCAGUCGAAGAUACCAGCUGGCUGCAACUGUUUAUUAAAAACACAGCACUGUGCAAACACGAAAGUGGACGUAUACGGUGUGACGCCUGCCCGGUGCCGGAAGGUUAAUUGAUGGGGUCAGCGCAAGCGAAGCUCCUGAUCGAAGCCCCGGUAAACGGCGGCCGUAACUAUAACGGUCCUAAGGUAGCGAAAUUCCUUGUCGGGUAAGUUCCGACCUGCACGAAUGGCGUAAUGAUGGCCAGGCUGUCUCCACCCGAGACUCAGUGAAAUUGAACUCGCUGUGAAGAUGCAGUGUACCCGCGGCAAGACGGAAAGACCCCGUGAACCUUUACUAUAGCUUGACACUGAACAUUGAGCCUUGAUGUGUAGGAUAGGUGGGAGGCUUUGAAGUGUGGACGCCAGUCUGCAUGGAGCCGACCUUGAAAUACCACCCUUUAAUGUUUGAUGUUCUAACGUGGACCCGUUACCCGGGUUGCGGACAGUGUCUGGUGGGUAGUUUGACUGGGGCGGUCUCCUCCUAAAGAGUAACGGAGGAGCACGAAGGUUGGCUAAUCCUGGUCGGACAUCAGGAGGUUAGUGCAAUGGCAUAAGCCAGCUUGACUGCGAGCGUGACGGCGCGAGCAGGUGCGAAAGCAGGUCAUAGUGAUCCGGUGGUUCUGAAUGGAAGGGCCAUCGCUCAACGGAUAAAAGGUACUCCGGGGAUAACAGGCUGAUACCGCCCAAGAGUUCAUAUCGACGGCGGUGUUUGGCACCUCGAUGUCGGCUCAUCACAUCCUGGGGCUGAAGUAGGUCCCAAGGGUAUGGCUGUUCGCCAUUUAAAGUGGUACGCGAGCUGGGUUUAGAACGUCGUGAGACAGUUCGGUCCCUAUCUGCCGUGGGCGCUGGAGAACUGAGGGGGGCUGCUCCUAGUACGAGAGGACCGGAGUGGACGCAUCACUGGUGUUCGGGUUGUCAUGCCAAUGGCACUGCCCGGUAGCUAAAUGCGGAAGAGAUAAGUGCUGAAAGCAUCUAAGCACGAAACUUGCCCCGAGAUGAGUUCUCCCUGAGACUUAAAGUCUCCUGAAGGAACGUUGAAGACGACGACGUUGAUAGGCCGGGUGUGUAAGCGCAGCGAUGCGUUGAGCUAACCGGUACUAAUGAACCGUGAGGCUUAACCUUACAACGCCGAAG